CAAAGAGUCAAACGCCAAACAAAGCGUCCAGACAGAAGCAACGACGAUGUUCCUCAUUCUGAGCCCUCGCUCAGUUUUGAGACGCAGCAGGAGACGAUGCAACCGGCGACGCCGAUCGUCUCCAUGGCGACGGAGUGGUACGUGAAGCAGUCGCAGUGGCUCAUCGACGCGGAGGAGAAAUACGAGCGAUUCUGCCGCCAUUUCUGCAGAGCCAAGCCGAGGAUGAUGACGAUGAGAGGAAGGAGAAGCAAAACGUUGGCGAUGGUGAAGGUGGUGAAGAUGAUGGAGGUCCAACCGAAGACGAAGCAGGCGGCCUCCAACGACGAAGAGUCAACGCUGGAGGAAAUGUUUGGGUUUGUCAUGAUGUCUAGAAGAGGGGAAAAAAAACAUGAAAAACUGGAUUUUAUGGUUUAAAAUGACCCAAAAGCGACAAAAUCUGUUAAACUUCAUACACACCAAAUCUGGUUUGUUCAAAUUAUCUUCAAUAAAUCAAUUUCCAAGCAUUA